CUUCUCCUUCCUAUCAUCUCCACGGAAACUCCUACCCCACUUCAUCUUCUUCAAUCCCCAUUAACUCACGCCAGUGAAAAGGUCACAUCGGCACCUUUGCCUUAUCCUCUACCCUCCCCAUCUUCACGCCCAACCCCCUUGCACACCUCCCGCUUCACCCGUGCCACCCGUGACCCGCCCACCCUGAUUCGUCCUCUUCUCCUCGACUGCAGGGCGAUGGGAUGUGGGUCGAGCAGCGGUUCCAUUACUGUCAACCCAGAUUGUCGAGGAGCGCAAGCAAAUCAGCCUAUGCGCGUCAUUGCUCUCCUUCGGGCCCUGCCCACGUCGGCGGCCUCGGACACGCCGGACGCGGCCUCAUCCGGAGUUCCGAACAGGGAGUUUGGGUUCCGAUGGGAGGAUAUCGGGAAGGAGCAGCUCACCGGGACGGUGGUCUUGCACGAGCGCCGCGUGUUCCUCUACUGCAAGGGCCCUGAGGAGCGCCGAGUCCGACCACCUCCCCCACCUCCUUGCUGCCGCCAUCAAUGCCCGCAAGCCCAACCUGAAGAAGAGAGUAAGCAUCUCUUCUUAUUCUCCCUCUCCCUCAAAUUGCUUUUUUGAUUGGCUUGAUUUGGUAUAGUGAUAUGGUAGAUUGGUAGUUGUAUACUACAGUACUUCUGAGUGUUAUUCCGUUAUUUUAUCCUCUGAAAUGUGAAAACCUGACUAGAUCUGGAUAUUGUAUGUAUUAUUACGUCUACAUAUGGAGGAGCAGAGCUUUGCAUCGGACCUUUGCCUGCUGAUAUAUGGCCGCAACCAGCAGUAUCCAAGACAGGUGGCCGCCUUUUGUACCAUGUUCACAAGGAAUUGGUGCUCUGAAAUUCAAUAAAUUUUUGCAGGUUUCCUCUCAGUUGCUCAUGUUCACAGCAAGUAACCAUAUGGUUUUCCAUAGGCAACUGCACAACAUUAUUUUUCAGGAGGACAAUUAAUCAACUUAUUUCACAUUCAGUACACUACAAACAACUGCUGACACAAUGAGGUUCAACCAUGCUCUUAGCCACCGGAUGUCAUAGUUGGUGCCUUGAUUGAAAAUAUAAGGGCGUUUAGAUCACUAUAGUGAUCUAAACACUCUUAUAUUUCUUUACAAGGGAGUAUUUGAUAGUUCAUAGUUGAUAGCACUGAAUAAAAUAUUCCAGAAUAUUACUUAUGUAUCUUAACAGUUAAGGCUUCAUUCGGUUUGAAGGAUUUUCAUAGGAAAAACAUAGGAAUAAGAAUUUCGAAGGAAAAUGCCCUAUAUAUGCAUUCGGUUUGUAGGAAAUGUGUACAGGAAUUUCGUAGGAAUACUACUCAUUUCCUGUGUUUUUGGAGGAAACUACACAUCCACUCAAAGCUCAUUUUACGCGUAGGAACGAGACAAGUCAAUUCCUUAGGAUGGCAAAUGCCAUCCUAUCAAAUUCCUAUACUACUCCUAAUUCCUACGUUUUGAUUUCCUCCAAACCGAAUGAGCCCUUGCUCUUUGUUUUUGCUAGCGUGUAUCAGAUUGGUUAUUGUCGUUUCAAUACAGUUUGCGGUUUUAGUAUUUUUUUAUCAUACUGAAGCUUUCGUUAGAUUUUUUGUGGGAGUUUCAAGAGAAAUUUGUUUCUUUGCUUGCAGCCCCUAUUUUAGUGUUCAGCCCUGGUAUAGUUGAAGAAUAAUAUGGAGAGAAGUCCCCCAUCAGCAUAUCUGAGCUUAGAUGAUUGAGUUAAAUGAAUAUUAUGGAGAUGAAACCUUUUAUCAGGUUGUUUGAGUUUAAGUUCAAAUUCUUCUCUGGUUCAAGGCUUCAAACUGCUCUUUUCUAUCAGGUUUGCAUGAGCUAAAAUAAUAAGAUAUUACGAAGUCUUUCAUCACCUGAUUUGAGUGAUCGUAUAUUAGUAUCACACAAUUUCCCAAUUUUUUUUUAUUAAUGUGGCAUCUCUUCAGUAUUGAAGGACGAUACAAGAUGUAGCUAAGGAGUUGUCUCUGAUGAUCAACAUGCUAUGCUAAAGUGUUUGCUUCAUCAUUGGGCUUCCAUUUGUCACAAUUGUUGCCUUCUUCUUCCCUCUUCAUUAAUACCAGAGUUUGUUUUGACUAAUUGUUUGUUCAUGUGUGUUUCGGUGUUACAAUGUGAUCUCCCGGUGAUUCCAAUUGCCAGAUUAUCAUCCCAAGUGUUGGUUUGGGCACAAUUUUUUUGUUGUAUAUACUUUAGUCAAUUGUCCAAUUAUUGUUUUGUUUAUGA